UCCGUCCGUUUAUAUAUUUUUUUGUUAAGAUUUCAGAUCGAAAAUCUAUGUGUUAAGCUUCAUUUAAACAAAAAAAAAAUAAAUAAAUAAAUAAAAUGCGGGGAAGUUGAAAAAUAGUUACAGCAGUUCAAAAAUGAGUGCAAGCCACCAAUGACAUUUGUAAAGCUCGCUUCCAUUCUGGAAAUUUUGAUGUAGAAGAUCCACCUCGCUCUGGUCCACCUAUCGUUGCAAAAGUCGAUGAACCAGGACGGCCUCAUAAGCAACCAUGACAUCGCUAAGGAACUUAACGUUCAUCACCAAACGGUUGUGAACCAUUUAAAAAUAAUUUCCAUUACACUUAUUUAUUUAUGUAAUAACACUUUGAAGAAUUGUAGAAGACAAAGCUGUGAAUUCUGUGCGAAUAAAUUAUUUUUUUUAUUAUGAAAAGUUAA